AGUAUUGUUGUUAGGUAUUGUUGGGUUCUUUAUUGUUGUAUUUAUUUCUGUUAUAUGUAUGUGUAUGUCAGUUUCAUGUUUUAUCUGUGUAUGUCAAUUUCAUGUUGCACACGCACACAGUUAAUCAGAGCCCAAUUUAAGACUAUGUUCAUCAUUAUUACAGUUUCGAAUGUCAUCACCGCACACACCUGGUACCUGGACGCUGCUGAUUCGAUAACUGCCGCCGCCGAACGCAAUGUCGUCGUCCCUCCACUCCUGUAUCAAGUCGCCGGAAAGCUCCAAUAGCUGAAAGAUGCGGCAGAAUUCAGAAAACCUGUUAUCAGAGACGGACCUACCAGCCACUCCUCCCCCCCCCCUAGCCUUCCCACGAGGCUCCCCGAGAUGUGCAUGAGCGGAGAGGGAGAUUUAGCCGGGCCUCUCUCUUGAAGAAGCCUCGCCUCGCUUCGCAUCACGUCCCAGAUUGACACCACCCGGCAAGGCGCAGGACCAGGCCAGGAGAUCCCGGGGCUGGGUGCGGAUGGCGGCCUUUGUGUACUCCCUCAGGAUGCCGGGCAGAGGCGCCGGCACCCUCGUGUCCACCACUCCCUCCGCCACCACCACCAUCUUGGACUAUAACAAAGAGGCUGUGUGUGGGCUCUUGUGAUACCGUGAAUUUUCCCACGAGGCCUGGGUGGCGCGGGUGCUGUCCUGGCAGCACGUUGCUGGAUGUUACGGAGGUCAUCACCACCAACACCUCUCCGCCACACAACACGACCCUGCACCGCUGCACUCAUACAUUAGCAGAGUGUACAAGGGAGAAGGUCGGGUCGUGCCGGUCAUCCCCUAAACAUGGAGGAAAAGUCUCGGGCGUCAGUCAGGAGAUCAAGCGCGUCCCACCACAAGUCUGGUUCAUGCAAGGGCGAAAUAGACUACGAGAUGUAGUGACAGACUGGGUGAAGAGUGAGAGGAGUUAGGCAGGGUUGCAUACUGUCACCAAUCCCUUUUUAGCUUAUACACAGAGGAACUAGCUGCCAGAAUGAGAAAAAUGAAUGCAGGAGUGAAUGUGGAGAAUGGUGUGGCCGUUACAUGGGCCUGACUCAGCAGUCCCAAGUCACUUGUAACAUAAAGACCGACGUCACAACAUCACUGUACACUACCAGCAUCUUUGCACACUACCGAACUUCUGAGAGCUAUAUCGGUUCCAUCCCAGUUAACUCCUCAGCCACAGCGGUGCUCAAGUCCGACCUUUACCCGCCGAAGCGUCUGAAGUCCCGGCAUCCUGUUGCUCCUCAGCUGUGUGUGAUAGCAGUCCAUCUCAGGUCUGCCUCUUCAGAAGAGGACACAGACUGAGGCGUGCGGUCCGACACGUGUAGGGGCUGUGCGGUUUCAAGUCGUUCAUUGGAGGCGUAGGUCAUCAGGAAUUGUUCGGUCUUGGUGUUAAAGGUUCUGCUACUACUGGAGGGAGAACCAAACCAGCGUGUCCAAACAACCCCCGACUUGGAGCCAGGAUACUGGCUUUUCUUGCGCCGGAAGACGGUCUCGCUGCACCUUCCCGGAAAACUGAACCCUACCUCGAACCAGCUCUCCUAGGGAGAGGGGGGACACACUGGCUCGCUCUACCUUCCAUGGAGGAAUUGGUUCCUACCUCGCACCAGGUCAUCCAGGCAGGGAGGACACUGCCUCGCUCCACCUUCCCCAGAGGAACUGAACCCUGCCUCGAACCAGCUCCUCCAGGGAGGGUGGGGCGGACACUGGCUCGCUACACCUUCCACGGAGGAAUUGGACCCUACCUCGCACCAUCUCCAGGAAGGGAGGACACUGCCUCGCUCCACCUUCCCCAGAGGAACUGAACCCUACCUUGAACCAGCUCCUCCAGGAA